UCCUCGAUGGUCUAGUGGUCAUGAUUUCCGCUUGUCAACCAAUCUCUCAUCAGAUAACGGCAAGCGCGGGAGACCUGGGUACGGUUUUCCUCCUCUCCACAUGACACCCGCUGAACAUGCUUCAGGUUCGAUUCCCAGUCGGGGAG